AUUGAACGCUGGCGGCAGGCCUAACACAUGCAAGUCGAGCGAGCGGCGGACGGGUGAGUAAUGUAUGGGGACUGCCCGAUAGAGGGGGAUAACUACUGGAAACGGUGGCUAAUACCGCAUACUAUCGGAUAACCCAUAUGGGAUUAGCUAGUAGGUGGGGUAAAGGCUCACCAAGGCGAAGAUCUCUAGCUGUGCUGAAAGGAUGAUCGGCCACACUGGGACGAGGACACGGCCCGGACUCCUAGGGAGGCAGCAGGGGGGAACAUUGUACAAUGGGCGAAUGCCUGAGGAAGCCAUGCCGGGGGUAUGAAGAAGGCCUUAGGGUUGUAAAGUACUUUCAGCGGGGAGGCGUUACCCGCAGAAGAAGCACCGGCUAACUCCGUGCCAGCAGCCGCGGUAAUAC
rnacentral:rRNA from 1 species